CCAUACUCGUGGGGCAGUCAGAGGAGGAACUAAUCCAACCGAGGCGCCACGAGGGGAUAGGCGAGCAGACCCAUCCCUCCCGAGUCGUCCUACCGACCUCAACCUUGGGCGGAUCCUAGGUCCGCCACCACCACCGGAUCGCAGGUCCUCCACGCCAAUGGAAAUCCUUACCCAAUCGCUGGCUGUUGUUCGUCUCGCCAAUAGGGAAGAAAGGAAGUUGUUACUUGCACAUGCUGGUCGACUGUCAGUUUAGGGGUGGAGACCAACUACAAGCAGUCAUAUCGAUUUCUUAUUCAAGACAUGGAACAGCCGGUAGACUCUGCUCAAUUCUUUUCUGCACUAAUGCGAGGAUGAUGAUGAGUUCUGCAUGAAACAAAGUUUAAUUGGUGUUCAGCACAGUUCUGGUCAAAUGAUUCCGGUGAAUAUUUUGGCUGGUUCUCAUAUUUUGGUUCAAGGAAUUUUUCAAUCUACAACGGCUGCUAGCCAAUGGUUGAAAGAUUGUCUACCAAAUAUGUGUACUGCAAUGAUUAUCUUCAUUCAGAGGUUCAGAUAGAUGGAGCCUGACACUCUCCACCCUCAAGAACCACUUCGGUGCCACCACACCCGGCAGCGACAAGUUCGGUGGCCUCUUCUCCGCCGACACCGCCGACCAACUCGCCCUCAGAGUUCCCCACAUUCAACGCAUGUGUGAUCCUCCCACUCC